GAGGAUGUCAGCGUUGUCCCUGAGUGUUCAGGGGAGCAGCCUGUCAACAGGGCUGCAGCUGAGACAGCCUUGCCUGGCAACACAAGCAGUGGGAACAGUUCUCUGAAGCCCGAGGAGCCUGGUAAGAGGAGAGCCCCCAUUCCUUGUGAGAGGUCUAAAAGGGCUGCUCUGAGCUGGACAGACACAAAGGGAGAUCAAGAGUUCAGUCCUGUCUGCAGUGUGGGCACCUCCUGAGCCUUUAGUUCAAAUGCUGCAGUGGCAGCACCUCCCCGAGCCCUGCCCCGCGCGCUCCCGAGGAGGCACCGACACCGAGCCCUCUGCUGUGGCAGCAGAGCCGUGCCUGAGCCUGACCUGUGGGAGUUGUGUCACCAGCCCCAGUGUCCCCAUUCCCAGCUGAGGCCCACAAAUCAAUUUGCUGCAGGGUGACAGCGCUGCCGAGGCGGUGCUGAGCGGGGUGACUGUUGCAGCAACAGCAAAACCCCACCAAAAUGAUGAAGCCAGCGCCAAAGUCCAAACUUUUUUGCCUCAAAUCAUAACCUAAAUUUGGGAGCACUCUGCUGCUACCUGUCCUGAGACACAGGAGAAAAACAAGCAGCACAACAUCUGAGGGCAAACAAUUCUCAAAGCCAGUAACCAAAGGGAAAGCCUAACUGUGCCCAGCCUAGCAAGGCCUCAGAGGAGAGAGGGAGCCCUUUGGAUUUGCAUCCCAGAUGAAAGCUGGUGCAGCCUGCAGGCCUCGAAGGGAGCUCUUUUCCUCCCAGCUGUUCCUGUCAGAGCUGCAGGCAGAGCUGGAGGAGCUGUGGCUCACUGCAGAGGGAGUUCUUCAGUCCCAGGUAAUGGAGCUGGUUCGUGACUCAGCUCAUGGCACUUUUUGGCCUCAGUCGUUCCAGUGAGGACUGAGGGCUCUGUCAGCACAGGGAAAGAGCAGGGCCAGGCUUCUUUGUGAGAGCUGGGGCUGUGUUCACAGCUCUCAUGGGUUUCACUUGCACUGCAAGUGCUGCAGCUUUAUGGGGAUACUUCAGACCUUUGCAGUUUGGAAAUCUCUGGAAGCAUUGCUGUUCUCUGCAGAGCAGCUUCCAAUUCCCAGGUCAGAGUCUGCAUUUCUGGCCAUUCCUCACAGUCCCUGGUAGGAGUACAGUCGCUGUCCUGGGAAAACAUGCCCGAUGGCAGCUGCUGACUGCGUGUUCCCGGUGUUUCUCAGAGCUCCACCUGCUGUACCUCGCCCGGAGGGCUGCCCUGCGCAGGCAGAAGUGCCCGAGCUCCCAGCGUCGUACAGUCGCUGUCCUGGGAAAACGUGCCCGAUGGCAGCUGCUGACUGCGUGUUCCCGGUGUUUCUCAGAGCUCCACCUGCUGUACCUCGCCCGGAGGGCUGCCCUGCGCAGGCAGAAGUGCCCGAGCUCCCAGCCAGGGCCGGCCCUGGUGGGUGCCGAUGGUGGCCGCGCUGCGGGGCCACAGCUCCUUGUGAAGAGCCCCGACUGCUGCCCCGAGAUCCCUGCAGACACCAAGAGACUGAAGAGAGACCAGAAGGAGAACGUGCCGGGCGGCCUGGAGGUGUUCAGCUCCGCUUCCAGCCACUCCCAGCAGCACCUGGACUCAGCCCUGAGCAGGGACCUGCAGCUGCCACCCUCGAGCCACCUGUGCGGCCCUUCCAGGAAAAGUGAAGGUGCUUCUGGAUUGCCCCCAGGUAAGGAGGUUCCCCCAGUGACUCGAACGCCCAGAGUGGCCUAGCUUAGCUCAGUGAUGAGGUUUCUCUUCACUCUGGUUUUGAGCCAGCAUAUGUUUUUGGGGUUCACUGAUUUUCUUCAGGAAAUCAAGUCUAUCGAGUGAGCAAAAAAAAAGGGGUGUAAUCUCUCCCUGGGUUGCAUUCCACAGUUUAUUUCUGUGAAGGGCAAGAGACAAAGGAUUUGGGGUUGGGGGGUUUCUUUUAACAGGGUUUCUCGGAGGGAGGGAGGGAACAUCAGAGAGAGAACCAAUUAUUUUUCUCAGCUAGUACAUCUUAAAAACUUUCUACAAAUCAAGAUUACAUUCACUGAGAUAAGGAAAUAACAGACACUAACUUCUUCAAAUGCCCACAAAGGUGUAGGAGUAUACUCCACAGAAGAAGCAGAGGGGGAGAGAGGGAGGAGGGCAUGGUUUGCUGGCAACGCAGGAGGGAAAGAAAGGGAAGGCACAAAUACCCUCUCAGCUGCUGCAGCUCAGAGGCAUUCUGAGACAGGAAAAAACAGAGUUACAAGUUUUCAUGCUGGAGAGAAGGGUCUCUCUGCUACCACACCAGCACUUUCCAGGCUAAAGAGACUCCAAGCAUCUGGAAAUGCCAGCAGGGUUUUUUCUUUGCUCUAUCCGGCUUCUUGCGACAGAGCUGAGGAGAAAAAAUUUCACUAACCGUGGUAACCUGCCUCCCGGUAAUAGCUGGGAGGAAAAGAGACAGGGGAGGGGAAAUCACUAGAAGAGGGGAAAAGAUACAUAUCAAGCUAUCAACUACAACACCCCAGCUCUUCCAGAGAAAGUUUUCUACACUCCAAGAAUUUAGAGAUUUUUUACUGAGGCCACAGCCUUGUCCAAGUGCACAGUCCUGGCUUGUAUUUGCUUUUUGUCAGUCCUGUUGUGAUCUGAAGAAUUUUUUAAACUGAAAUUGAUAGUUCCAUAUAUUAUCAGUGUAAUUGUAGCAGUUUCCAGUAAAUUAAAGUUUUAAUUGAGAUGGGUGUUGAUCUGUGUUACUCAAAGCACUUUGCAGAUGUAAACAUUCUGAUGCUGAGGAUUUUGGCAGUGAGUGAAGGCAGCUGGGUGAAAAUAUCCAAGCAAGCCCAGCAGAUCUCUCAGUUCCAGUGCAGCUGGGCAAUGAAACCACAGAUUUUUGGUGGCCCAACCCACUGUGUGAAUCCUAAAAUCCAGAGCAAUUCCCUGUGGCAGAGGUCAAAAGGGAACAGCUCCAGGGCAAUGCUGGCCAUGGCUGGCUCUGAGUCACCCAGCUGUGGAUGUGGCAGGCACGGGCUGCUUUCAGCAGAUGCAUUUGCAGAGCCUUGGCUGGGCAGGCCCUUGGGUCCCCACUGAGCUCUCUGUGCCUCUCUAACACCGACAGAGCUGCAGAGCUGCUGGGAAACCCUGCAGGCCUCUCACUGAGUUGGCCUGGCAGAAAUUUACACUGUCCCAGCACAGGAGGUGCUUCACCUGCUCCUGCAAGUCCCUCUGCCUUGCUGAGGCCCCAGGGAAAGCAAAGGCCAUGCCCUGCUACCUGGAUAGGAUGGGAAAGUGCAUCUGGAGAGAGAGAGAGCAGGGAAGCAAAUUCAAUCCUAUUAACAAUUACAGUUUGCAAACCACAGCUGUCAGCUUUUCUGUGUUUGUAUUAAUGAGAAGGGUAGGGAGUAGCUUCAUGUUUCGAUGGAGGGUGAAGCAGUGUCAGAAUUCAGCUUAUUUCUGCUUCUUUUCUGGCAUUUUUCCUGUCAUAAGUCUGACAGCCAAGGGCAUCUUGCUCAGAAUCCCAGAUCUGUGGCUUUAUCAGUAGCCAAGUGUCCCCUGUCAACCUGUUUGCCUCAAAGUAAGCAAAGUUCAAAGCAAAGGUGUGUUCACAGUAAAGGUGGGAGCUCUUGGCUUCUUUUAGAGACAGAAAACAUACCAAACUCAAGCCUGCUUGCUGAAUUCUCUGGAAAAUCUGACUCACUCAAGGGAGUAGCAUUUUGGGGUAUUUGUGAUAUGACAAAUUUUCUGUAGAUCAUUCAUUCAGAUAAUCAGUAAGCCAGACCAAUAAUUCUCUUAUUAAUGCAUUAACACAUCUGACUGAAAUAAUAUAACUUGAAAUUUUGGCUUCAGUCCGCAGCAGUGUUUUGAAUAUGAGAAAAUUCAUUUGAGGGAGGAACAGAUUGCAUUUGCAGAGUUGUGGUUUUUUGUUCAGCACACAGAUUCUCUCAUUUCCUCUUCUGUAGUUGUAAGCAUGAAAGUAAACCAUCAGCUUUGGAAAUGCAGCUCAAAUGUACCUGUUUAUAUUUUGCUUAGUGUAUUUUUUGCAUGAGCUGAAAGUACUCAUUGGUCAUUUACUUCAUAGCAUUCUUUGUAAUUGUGAGACUGAAAAAAGACCACAGGAAUUUCUCCCAUCAACACAAAGUACAUAGAAGAGUAUUACAAAGACUCUAGCAAUAUCCAUGUUUUGCUUUACACAGACCUUUAUUAAAUGUAUAGUUUUAAAUGUAUUUUACCAAGCAGACAGUCAGUUCAGUUACAGCAAUUCCUUUUCAGUCAGCAGGACAAGGGAAGUAUUCCCCCACACAUCUGCAAUACCCUCCUUGUCUGCCAGGGCCGCACGGACUCCAGGAGGAGCUGUCCUUGACGGAAAAGUCCUGCCCACACCUCGGGUGGGAGGCCACCCACAGACUCCAGCUCUGGAGGCUCAACUGGGGGCGGCAUCCCCUGUGGAGAAGGUGCAGGGUCCUGGGGGCUGUUCUCGUCCAGCCGAUGGGCAGCUCUCUCUGGCUGCCUGCUGGUCUCUGCUGCCUCCCCAGGGGACAUGAUGACAAACUGGACAUAGUCCUGUUCGCGCCUCUCGGAAAACCUGACAGUCUCUAUUGCUGUCCUGCAGAGCGGGCAGGAGGGAUUUGUUGUGGCCCACCGCAGGAUGCAGCCCAGGCAGAACUGGUGGCAACAGGGCAGAAGUGAAGCCGCGUCAUCCCAAGUCUCCUGGCAGAUGGGGCAGUUGCUGUCUGUCCCUGUGGCCAUUUGUGUGCUCUGCAGCACGUUGGGGACAGCUGAAGACCAGGAGCUGCUCCCCUCGCUGGUGUCACACACUGCAGGAGGGAGAGACCAUAGUCACUGGCUGUGCCAAGGAGAGGAAUAAAAGGCAGGAAAUGCCCA
rnacentral:lncRNA from 1 species